rnacentral:lncRNA from 1 species
CAAUCAUUGUAUUGUCAAACUUGAGACCAUGUUACAGUAACUUGCAAGUACAACAUAAUCAUUCCAUUCCUCAUCAAUUCAGUGAGGUAGAAGAGAAGCCUUGGCAGGUUCAACCACAAAGGAGUCAAGAACAGCACAAUGCUACAGAGGAACAGCUUACAGUAUAAUAUGAAGGCCUAAUGGGCAAGUUGACUGAAGUUUGCACACAAAGAGCUAAGAAACAUUGGGCUCUUCAUGAAGGCAGGAACAAAACAAUUUUGUUAUUGCGCUGGGCUAGACUUGUAAGUGGUAACUAUAUAUAUCCGGUAACUUGACAAAACCUUCUGGUGACUUGUGUUUGCCUGAAGACGAGUUUUCCAUCCUCAAAAGUUCUUGAGCAAUUGGCAAGCUAAAACAUCGCUGCUACUGUUCUAACUUCUAAAUUUCUUCUUCUAGAGUUUUUCCAGUGAAAGUUGUAUGUACACAUGACUGGUGUUACUAUACCAUUUGCCCAUUAGUACUUACUCCCUCUGUUCCAUAAUGUAAGACGUUCUUUGACACUACACUAAUGUAAAAAAUAGUCUGACAUUAAGGGACUGAGGGAGUCUUAUACUCUUUACAUGUAGAGUAUAAACAAGAGUAGUCUACGUAUGAACCUAAAUUAUUGAAACAGAUAUAUGGACCUAACUCCGACAUUAGAUAAGUUCAUCACUUGGCUUCCUAAGUUUGCAUGAUACCAGCAACUAAGGUAUCGGCUCUAUAAUAUGCAGUGUAGAAAUAUCCAGAAGAGCAUAUCUUGUCUUUGUAUAUGAGCUAUCUGUUUUUAUUGUAGAAGCUGAGGAAUGUAUUUAUAUUCCAGGGGUUUGUUUUAGAUGGAUGUUGUGGCACCUUCUCAGAAAUGCACCUUGAGAAGAUGGCGCAAGGAGGAGCUGUGAGGACAAGUCAAUCACUGUAUUGAGACUGGAGACCAAGUUACAAUAAGUUGCAGGUUCAACGUAAUCAUUCCAUUUCUCAUCAUUCAGCGAGGUAGAAGAACAGCCUUGGCAGAUUGAACUACAAAGGAAUCAAGAACAGCACGGUGCUACAGAGGAACAGCUUACAGUACAAUAUGAAGGCCUAAUGGGCAAGUUGACUGAAGUUUACACACAAAGAGCUAAGAAACAUUGGGCUCUUCAUAAAGGCAGGAACAAAACAAUUUUGUUAUCGUGCUGUGCUCAAGGGNNNNN